CUUUUCAAUUGUAAAAUAAAAACAAUUUUGAUACUACAAAUUAUUGUGUUCUUUUAAUUAAUUUCGGUUUUUAUGGGCAGCCGCUUAUUGUGGGCAAACAGGGCUGGUCCCAACGUGCUCACAUUAAGCGGAAUCCACUGUAUUUCAGUUGAAUUUAAAACCCUAGUGUGCACCGGUCAUUUUGAAUACAUCAAUAACGUGAG